rnacentral:SRP_RNA from 1 species
CGCACUAGACGGAGAGGUAGCGGUGCUCUGUAACCUGCAAUCCGCUAUAGCAGGGUUGAAUUCCCCAAAGCGGGCGGGUCGGGGCGCGGCCUGCCCCGAAAAGGCGGUGUUGAAGGUUGGACCCUUCGCAAUAAAGCCUCGUGAACCCUGUCAGGUCCGGAAGGAAGCAGCAGUAAGCGAGUCACUUUAUGUGCCGGAGGACCAUCUGACCGGAGCUGCUGAUUCGGGUAACGCGCGUGUCGGCUCG